rnacentral:rRNA from 1 species
AGUGAACGCUGGCGAUAGGCCUAACACAUGCAAGUCGAACGGCAGCACAGUAAGAGCUUGCUCUUACGGGUGGCGAGUGGCGGACGGGUGAGGAAUACAUCGGAAUCUACUUUUUCGUGGGGGAUAACGUAGGGAAACUUACGCUAAUACCGCAUACGACCUACGGGUGAAAGCAGGGGAUCUUCGGACCUUGCGCGAUUGAAUGAGCCGAUGUCGGAUUAGCUAGUUGGCGGGGUAAAGGCCCACCAAGGCGACGAUCCGUAGCUGGUCUGAGAGGAUGAAUCGGCACAAUGGGACUUGAGACAGGUCCCGGACCCUAACGGGGGGCAGCAGGGGGGAAUAUGGGACAAGGGGCGAAAGCUUGACCCAGCCAGACCGCGGGGGUGAAGAAGGCCUUCGGGUUGUAAAGCCCUUUUGUUGGGAAAGAAAAGCAGCAGGUUAAUACCCCGCUGUUCUGACGGUACCCAAAGAAUAAGCACCGGCGAACUUCGG